rnacentral:lncRNA from 1 species
UUUUUUUUUUUUGGCUGCCCUUUGGAGUCUGGAGUUCCCAAGCCAGGGAUCAGAUCUGAGCCACAGUCGUGACUUAGCUAGGUCAUUUUUCCUCAUAGGACCUAUCAUCUGAAAGUACCUUAUUUAUUUAUUUACCAUUUGCUUUCUUCCCUGGAAUGUGAAUUCCCCAAGAAAAGGAACUUUCUCCACUUUUGUCCAUUGCUGAAUCUCCAGUACACAGAAUACCGUCACACUCCUCCUCCUCCAAAUCUGUAUGACCUUGGAAAAUUUUCUUAAUAUCUCUGUGUCUCCGUUGGAUUGUAAAGAUCAAAUUCAUUAAUUCAUGUCAAGUGCUUUCAAAAGGACCUGGCAUACAAUUAGUGCUCAAUAGCUUAGUUAUUAUUACUCUUAUAUAGGCACUAGAUAAAUAUUAGUUGAACGAAUGAGACUUUAAAAAGCUUAAUCUCAAAGAUGUGGUGUAAUCACCCUCUAAAUUGGAACAUGAUGAUAGGAGGGCUUGUCUUAUUCAAAAGAAAUACAUUUUUAAGAGGAGAAGUGGAGUAGUGCCAAUAGAAGAAUAUUAACCUCUGCACAGAAAUCUUCAUUUCCUGAGGAAAGAAGCACCCUAGAAAACACUGAGUAGAAAAAACAGUAACGGUGGCCAUUCUGGUGUACUCAUUAUGGCACAGGAAUUAGACAUGAACAAGACAGGUGAGGUUCCUGUUCUUGUCAGCAGUGACAGAGACUUCAACCAUCCAUGAAUAAGCCACAUAAUUUAUUUGGCCAAAAGCCAACCAUGUAACAGGUGCUUGAAGAUCAUUAAUGACAUUUAAUCUCCAAAGUAGCAAGGAAACAAUGGGAGGAAGUGACCGCUUUGGACCUAGUUCUGACAACGAGAAUUGAUGUAAUGUAAACUUUACAAGUGACCAUGUUAUCUUGACUUUUAUUUUUUUCAAGGACAGCAUGAAUUGUAUACUCUAUGUGAGUGUCUUCAAAAUGUUUAGAGGAAAGAUAUGCAUUAUUCAUGGCAUGAGACUCCUAAAGAGAUGAUGACUCAAAAGUGUUAUGAUGUUCUCAAAAAUGCAAUUUUGAGUGCAAUUGCAAAUGAUAAAAUAAGGAUAAAAGUAGGAAGAAAACUUUUAAGAAAUGUAGCUACAGAUUUUUUAAAAGAAAAAUUGCAAUUGAAAAGUAUCCCUAUCGAUCUUAUUCGUCAUCUUGGUAAAUGCAGUUCCAAAAAUGUGGCAUAGAGUCAAAAGAAUUGUCAGAUGAAUGAACAAAUGAACAUUGAAUAUGAGUGUGGUAGGGCCAGACAGACUCAUAUCAGAAUGACCAAGGUCUCAAGUGAGCUAGGAUUUGAGAAAAAAAUUAAAAUACCAAAGUAACUUAAUACUUUUAUUUGGAGCAAGAGAAGGUCAUAAGUUUGAGCUAAUGAUAGAAUAAUGAUACAGUGUUUUUCAAUCUCUAAAACUGAGACUAAACACGAUUAGGAAGAAAUUAAAAACACAAUAAGGCUUUCUUGGUCAGCACCUAAAUGAAUGCAUAUCCCCUAACAAGGAUGAAUUUCAAGCCACAUUAGGAAAAUAAUUUGUAAUGGAGAUCUCUGGGUACUAAGAGCAGUAUUAGAAGAUUAGGACUACAGGAAAGAGCUAAAACAGUGAAUUCCAAAAUCUACAGAAAGAUGAACUGUGGUUGAUUCCUGCUACAUUCUGAAUGAUUGAUCAAAAAAGCAAAUACUGGAGUUCCCUUGUGGCCAAGUAGUUAAGGAUUUGGUGAUGUCACUGCUCCGCUGUAGCUCGAUUCGGUCUCCUGGCUCAGGAACAUCUGCAAGCCGUGGGCAUGGACAGAUAUAUAUAUAUACACUACCACGUUUCCCUCUUUGAUACUACUAUUAAUCUGAUAAGCCAUUAUUAAUCUGGUAGAUCAAGAAGGUUUACACUGUUCAUGAAUUGAUCAGAAUGGCUUUGAGACAGUCUGGAAUAAUAAGGUUCGGAUACUAGCUUCAUUUGGUGAAUUCGCCAUUGCCUAUGUCAAUAUACCCUUACUUCCUAGUGGUGAGAUGACUCCUGGUCACCUUAUAGCACCAUUCCUCCCACUUACAUCUUAUAUCUCGGUCCCGGUUUAUUUUUUUCUCCCAAACACCUGUCACUCUCUAAGCUACUUUAUUGUUUAUCUCAUAUAGUUUCUGUCUCCCCCCCUUAAAUGGAAAUUCUAUAAGGAUAAGUAUUUGAAUCCAUUGGGUUCAGUGCUUUAUGCUCAAUACCAAGCACAGUGCCCUGACUGAGUAUUCAGUGAAUAUUUUCUUGACUGACUGAAUGAAUGACUCUUGAAACAUGGCGUCUAAUGCAUGCCAAUGAAGAAGGAUAUAGGCCCACUAAAUUUUUUUUUUUUUUUGAGGGGGACACAGUCAAGGACAGAACUUCAAAUCACAUCCCACAAAUGGAAGAAUCAAAUGAGUAUUUUUAGUCUAGGAAAGAGGAGACAUGAAGGGUGGGAAAAGGAGGAUGGAAGUUGGUUUGAUAUAGUAGAAAGCUUCAAAUAUCUGAGCUCUAUUAUGAAAAGGGAUUAUCCUAUUGUUUCUAUUUUUAAAUGAUCAACUGAUAUAAAUAAAUGGAAGUGACAGUCUGAUUUCACCUCUGUUUCACACACUCC